rnacentral:rRNA from 1 species
GACGGACGCUGGCGGCGUGCUUAACACAUGCAAGUCGAACGCUGAACCCGCUUCGGUGGGGGAUGAGUGGCGAACGGGUGAGUAACACGUGGGCAACCUGCCCCCGGCUCUGGGAUAACUCCAAGAAAUUGGGGCUAAUACCGGAUGUGACCGCUGGCCGCAUGGUCUGGUGGUGGAAAGGGUUUCCGGCUGGGGAUGGGCCCGCGGCCUAUCAGCUUGUUGGUGGGGUAGUGGCCUACCAAGGCGACGACGGGUAGCCGGCCUGAGAGGGUGACCGGCCACACUGGGACUGAGACACGGCCCAGACUCCUACGGGAGGCAGCAGUGGGGAAUAUUGCGCAAUGGGCGGAAGCCUGACGCAGCGACGCCGCGUGGGGGAUGACGGCCUUCGGGUUGUAAACCUCUUUCAGCAGGGACGAAGCGCAAGUGACGGUACCUGCAGAAGAAGCACCGGCCAACUACGUG